rnacentral:rRNA from 1 species
AACGAACGCUGGCGGCAGGCCUAACACAUGCAAGUCGAACGCUGUAGCAAUACAGAGUGGCAGACGGGUGAGUAACACGUGGGAAUCUUCCUAUCGGUACGGAAUAGCUCCGGGAAACUUGGGGUAAUACCGCAUACGCCCUUCGGGGGAAAGAUUUAUCGCCGAGAGAUGAGACCGCGUCUGAUUAGCUAGUUGGUGAGGUAAUGGCUCACCAAGGCGACGAUCAGUAGCUGGUCUGAGAGGAUGACCAGCCACGCUGGGACUGAGACACGGCCCAGACUCCGACGGGAGGCAGCAGUGGGGAAUAUUGGACAAUGGGCGCAAGCCUGAUCCAGCCAUGCCGCGUGAGUGACGAAGGUCUUCGGAUUGUAAAGCUCUUUUGGCGGGGACGAUAAUGACGGUACCCGCAGAAUAAGCCCCGGCUAACUUCGUGCCAGCCGCCGCCGUAA